rnacentral:lncRNA from 10 species
GCCAUUUCUGCUGUCCCAGGUCCCGGGCUGACCCUUUACUGAGGUUCACAAGGGCACGAAGUGCAGUAUAUAAAAAGAGGAUAAUGACUUGACUUCAGUGCAGGAAAAGGCCCAAUGAACAGAGCAGCCAAGCUUGCCGGGACUAGAAUAGAUGAAAGUUUGGAGAAGAGUCGAGAAGAAAUGGCAUUGUCUGCAUGGAGAAACUCCCCAUUUUACAUACAGUACUUCUGAGAUGCUAAAGUAGACUUUCUGAAGUUCAAAGUUUAAAGAAGAAAGACUCAACUUUGAACGGUUCUGAGUGAGAAGCUGGAAUAAUGGUAGGCAGCCUUCUGAACUAUUCACAGUUGUCUAGUGUGUGCCUUCACUACAUGGACACUGAUGCAUUAGCUUUCUCUACAGGGCUGGCUUCAUGGGAGUGUAAUCUGUGCAGUCACACAGGACCUCAUCCCUAAAGAGGUCCUCCUGCACAAGGUCUAACACUCUGCAUAGCCAUCUUGAAAUUCUUAAUAAUUUUUGAACAAGAUAUCCCACAUUCUCAGUUUGCAUCGGGCCCAGCAAAUUAUGCAGCCAGUCCUGGUUUAGAAAGACAAAGAGCUGUCACUUUAUACAGUCCCAGACACCAGGUCUUUGCUGUGUCAGAAUUGUAUGAGGAGUUAAGAAUAUAAUUUACAUUGUAUAAACCUUCAAACUGCACAGAUACAUCUGUUUUUGUUUAUUUGUUUUGUUUGCAUUUUCAUUUCAUGUCUUGUUCCUGUUACAGGG